rnacentral:misc_RNA from 1 species
UUGAUGGGAAUAGAUUAUAGAAUAAUACUAAACUUUAUGAUUGAUUUUACAGAAUUUGCAGAAUAUUUCUUACAGGGAAAUUUUGAUUUAAAAAUGACAAAGUAAAAAGAGUAUACAAAAGAGCAAUUAUUAGAAAUUUGAUUCUUCUUAGUUAGAAGGCUUGGAGACAGCAGCAUCUUUGUUGGCUCUAUUGUAUUUCAUGUGGCUCUUUACAAGUUGUCCAGCGGCAAUUGCAGACAUUAGAGAGAGCUCUCCAGCAAGAACAGCGCCAGCAACUAUGGACGCUAAAACCCUGGAGUUAGCUCCUGGCGUUUUUUU